UGUACCAGACAGACUGUGUGUUGGUGUACCAGACAGACUGUGUGUUGGUGUACCAGACAGACUGUGUGUUGGUGUACCAGACAGACUGUGUGUUGGUGUACCAGACAGACUGUGUGUUGGUGUACCAGACUACUCUACGGGCUUUAAGCAGAACUACCUAAUGAGGGGGACAGAAAGCGAGAAGACGGGGGUGAAAAGAGGUGGGGGUGAAGAGCGAGGGGGGGGUGAAGAGAGGUGGGGUUGAAGAGCGGGGUGGGGGGGGGGGUGAAGAGAGGUGGGGUUGAAGAGCGAGGGGGGCGAGGGGGGUUGAAGAGCGAGGGGGCUGAAGAGAGAGGAGAUGUUGGUAUAUAGAGGAAUAUUAAAAUAUGCAAUAAAUUCACUGAUCAAUAAAAUCUAAUACAACUAAAUCAGACACGGAUAACAGUGGGAGUU